GUAUUUCUCGAGCAUAGGAAAUGCCAUGAUCACAUAGGGGUUUUUCCCAGGGUGAGGCUCAAACAUUGCCUUCUGGAUGUGCUGGCAACUUUGAUUUUGCCAAAAUUCACGGGAAACUCAACGGCAUUAUUUGUGGUAGUGGGAACUGCAUUCGUGUCAUUCAUU